GCCCAAGUACGCAAAUUAGGCAAAGCGGCCACACUUAGGAUGUGGUGAUUAUGUGAGUUCGACUCUCACCUUGGGUAC
rnacentral:tRNA from 1 species